GAACGCGUCUUGGUUAUUGAUGUUAGAUGCUUGCAUUUAACUGACUUAACAUUGAGACGAGUGGCGAACUGGUGAGUAACACGUGGGUAACCUGCCCUUGAAGUAGGGGAUAACACUUGGAAACAGGUGCUAAUACCGUAUAACAACCAAAACCACCUGGUUUUGGUUUAAAAGAUGGCUUCGGCUAUCACUUUAGGAUGGACCCGCGGCGUAUUAGCUUGUUGGUAAGGUAACGGCCUACCAAGGCAAUGAUACGUAGCCGACCUGAGAGGGUAAUCGGCCACAUUGGGACUGAGACACGGCCCAAACUCCUACGGGAGGCAGCAGUAGGGAAUCUUCCACAAUGGACGAAAGUCUGAUGGAGCAACGCCGCGUGAGUGAUGAAGGGUUUCGGCUCGUAAAACUCUGUUGUUGGAGAAGAACGGGUGUGAGAGUAACUGUUCACAUCUUGACGGUAUCCAACCAGAAAGCCACGGCUAACUACGUGCCAGCAGCCGCGGUAAUACGUAGGUGGCAAGCGUUGUCCGGAUUUAUUGGGCGUAAAGCGAGCGCAGGCGGUUUCUUAGGUCUGAUGUGAAAGCCUUCGGCUUAACCGGAGAAGUGCAUCGGAAACCAGGAGACUUGAGUGCAGAAGAGGACAGUGGAACUCCAUGUGUAGCGGUGAAAUGCGUAGAUAUAUGGAAGAACACCAGUGGCGAAGGCGGCUGUCUGGUCUGUAACUGACGCUGAGGCUCGAAAGCAUGGGUAGCGAACAGGAUUAGAUACCCUGGUAGUCCAUGCCGUAAACGAUGAGUGCUAAGUGUUGGAGGGUUUCCGCCCUUCAGUGCUGCAGCUAACGCAUUAAGCACUCCGCCUGGGGAGUACGACCGCAAGGUUGAAACUCAAAGGAAUUGACGGGGGCCCGCACAAGCGGUGGAGCAUGUGGUUUAAUUCG
rnacentral:rRNA from 1 species